rnacentral:rRNA from 1 species
AGUGAACGCUGGCGGUAGGCCUAACACAUGCAAGUCGAACGGCAGCACAGUAAGAGCUUGCUCUUACGGGUGGCGAGUGGCGGACGGGUGAGGAAUACAUCGGAAUCUACUUUUUCGUGGGGGAUAACGUAGGGAAACUUACGCUAAUACCGCAUACGACCUACGGGUGAAAGCAGGGGAUCUUCGGACCUUGCGCGAUUGAAUGAGCCGAUGUCGGAUUAGCUAGUUGGCGGGGUAAAGGCCCACCAAGGCGACGAUCCGUAGCUGGUCUGAGAGGACGAUCAGCCACACUGGAACUGAGACACGGUCCAGACUCCUACGGGGGGCAGCAGUGGGGAAUAUUGGACAAUGGGCGCAAGCCUGAUCCAGCCAUACCGCGUGGGUGAAGAAGGCCUUCGGGUUGUAAAGCCCUUUUGUUGGGAAAGAAAAGCAGCAGGUUAAUACCCCGCUGUUCUGACGGUACCCAAAGAAUAAGCACCGGCUAACUUCGUG